rnacentral:ncRNA from 1 species
CUCUUAUCUUGAGCGGUGGAGGGACUGGCCCAGUGAACCCGCGGCAACCUUCAAAUAGAACUAUUUGAAAGGUGCUAAUUCCUGCAAGGUGAUAAACCUUGAUAGAUGAGGG